UACGUAGGUGGCGAGCGUUGUCCGGAUUUACUGGGCGUAAAAGGAGCGUAGGCGGACUUUUAAGUGAGAUGUGAAAUACUCGGGCUCAACUUGAGUGCUGCAUUUCAAACUGGAAGUCUAGAGUGCAGGAGAGGAGAAUGGAAUUCCUAGUGUAGCGGUGAAAUGCGUAGAGAUUAGGAAGAACACCAGUGGCGAAGGCGAUUCUCUGGACUGUGACUGACGCUGAGGCUCGAAAGCGUGGGGAGCAAACAGG
rnacentral:rRNA from 1 species